GCAGAAUCCCACAGCCCAAUAAUCUGGAGCUCAAUUUAACACACAUUCUGCAUAAAAGAAAUCCAACACUCAUGACUGAGAGAACCCAACUCAAAAGCAAUAGCAUCACCUUCCUUCACUCCCACCAAGUGAAAAUAAACUGGAGAGUGGCUAGGCUCCAAAACAGUCUGCAGAUACAUUGAACAGACGUAUGGCUUCCAGAAAACCUUCUUGCCCUCUUUCCAUUGGUCACUGGAAAUUUCUGAUGUGAUGGAAUCUCCUUAAAGUGGAUAUUUUCUUUUUUUUUUUAAUCUCCAUUUUAAGGAGAUUCCAUCACCUUGUAUUAAUUGCUGGCUACACUUCACUGACCCUUCAUUAGAAAGUGUCAUUUCCUAUCGGGAAGCACUUUUGAAAAAACAUAAAUUAAAAGGCUUAAGAGAUGAUGCAGAUGAUUUCGUCAACCUUGUCACCGUCACGGAACAUCUCACCGCUCACCGACUCCAAGUUCAUAUGUGCUCAGCCAUGGCCCUUGCCCUGAGGAAGCUUUUAAAAUCCUGCCAGGCGGCCUCACCAAUCCAGUCACUGGUGAGCAGUGUGACAGCAACCAGAGCAGAGGGAUUCAUCUGAAGCUGUCCUGUGGAGCGGGCUGCUGGUGAAGCUCCUGUGAAGGAACAAAGGCCUCCAAGCCAAUAGCCACUGAGGAACUGAGGUCUGCCGACAACCACCUGUGUGAGCUUGAAGAUGGAUUCUUCAGCCCCAAGAAAGCCUUCAGAUGGCUGCAGUCCUGGCCAACAGCUUGACUGCCUGCCACCUCAUGGGAACCCGUGAGCCAGAAUUAUCCAGCUAUGACAGCCCAGGUCUCUGACCCACAGAAAUGUUGGGAAAAAAAAUGUUUGUUGUUUUAAGCUGUCAGAUUUGGGGGUGGUUACAUAGUUCUAGAGAACAAUACAUAAAACUGGAGGUCAGAGAACACUUUCUUAAAGGGCCAGAUAGUAAGUAUCUGGGGAUUUGCAAGCCAUGCUCUGUCUGUUGCCUUCCUCAGUUCUGCCAUUGAAGCCCCAAAGCUGUCAGAGACCAUUUGUAAGUGAAUGCACAUGGCUGUCUGCCUAUAAACUUAAUUUACAAAAAUAGUCAACCAGUGUGUGGGCUAUCAUGUGCCAGUCUAUGCAUUAAACCAAUGUAUUUGCAGACUGUA